rfam:Caenorhabditis brenneri strain PB2801 C_brenneri-6.0.1_Cont24.17, whole genome shotgun sequence.
UUGUGACCGUUGUUACGGUCAUUUCAACAUGUAACUGACCGUAAUCCCGUUCACAACA